AAACCGUUGAAAGGGAAGCGAAUGGAGUUAGCAAUUCGCCCUGCCAGAUUCAGUUGUUCGCACCAUGCGCGACUUGCACGCUCUCGAUCCACAUGGACGAGACGUGCGCGUUUGCCGCGUGCGAGCGGCGCACUUUUGGCGGGCGAGCGUCAGCGUCGGUUGUCGACGAGUGACAAGUGCGCGAGGAAGGUGGGCCGUUCUUCUCGAACGGUUGUUAAGCCUCGCGUUCGAAUGGCUCGACGACGACCGUGGCUCUCGACGAGAGAGGCGACGCGUGCUCGGCUGGUGAAACGACGGUCGGUCCGGCAUGUCGACGGUGGCGGACGGCAUGCCUGUGCGCUCGAACUGCUGCCGGUCGAUCCGUCGUUCUCUCCGCACACUACGCGUCCAAGAUGCUGACGACCAUACGGCUCCAUCCGACCCGUCUUGAAACACGGACCAAGGAGUCUAACAUGUGCGCGAGUCUCCGGGUGAUCGAAACCCGUGGGCGCAAUGAAAGUAAAGAACGUCCUCGACGUUUGAGGUGAGAGGCGAUGCCCCACGCGUGGCGUCGUUGCAUCAUCGACCGACCUAUUCUGCUCACAGAAAGGUUUGAGUAAGAGCGUAUCUGUUGGGACCCGAAAGAUGGUGAACUAUGCCUGAAUAGGGUGAAGCCAGCGG
rnacentral:rRNA from 4 species